UACGUAGGCACCAAGCGUUGUCCGGAUUUAUUGGGCGUAAAGAGCUCGUAGGCGGUUGAGUAAGUCGGGUGUGAAAACUCUGGGCUUAACCCAGAGCCGCCACUCGAUACUGCUCUGACUUGAGUUCGGUAGGGGAGCAGGGAAUUCCUAGUGUAGCGGUGAAAUGCGCAGAUAUUAGGAGGAACACCGGUGGCGAAGGCGCUGCUCUGGGCCGAAACUGACGCUGAGGAGCGAAAGCGUGGGUAGCAAACAGG
rnacentral:rRNA from 1 species